UACGUAGGGUGCAAGCGUUGUCCGGAAUUAUUGGGCGUAAAGAGCUCGUAGGCGGCUUGUCGCGUCGGCUGUGAAAACCUGGGGCUCAACCUCGGGUCUGCAGUCGAUACGAGCAAACUAGAGUGUUGCAGGGGAGACUGGAAUUCCUGGUGUAGCGGUGAAAUGCGCAGAUAUCAGGAGGAACACCGGUGGCGAAGGCGGGUCUCUGGGGCAACAACUGA
rnacentral:rRNA from 1 species